AGUAGACGAACCAUUCCCGUUGUGUGGUUUGAUGAGCUACUGUCAACACAAUAUCCUGCAAUAUGAAACAUGCCUUGGAGAAAGAGAAGAACAGUUGUUCUCAACCAGGGGUACAUGUAUCCGGGGGUACGCAGAGGUCUUCCAAGGGGACAUCAACUCAUCUAGACAUUUGCCUUGCUUUACAACAGGCUACAGAAAAAGGAUUAGCGAAGACAGUACAAGCUAAAAUUACAAACAGACAAUGACUUGUUUAUACUGCUCUAUAUAAUAUACACUGAAAUAUUUGGCGUCCAAACUGCCUGCUCUUGAGAGAUGUCUGUGGCCUGCUCCUGGAAGUUAAGAGAAUGGAGGAUGAUAUAGUCUAUGUAUUUUGCUACAGAAAUGUCCUUCCAGUGAUCAAUAGCCAUAGCUAAUGGAAAGAUUAUUUCAGUUGUCCCUUUGACACAUGGACAGUUUCAGAUGAUGACCCAGCACAUGUUCAUUUUAAGAACCCUUUCACAGCUGAUUUGACAACAUGCACAGAAGGUACUGAUGUGAGAUUUCUAAAAAUAGCUACAUCACUCAACCCAAGGUUUAAGAAUCUGAAGUGCCAUCCAAAAUCUGAGAAGGACGAGGUGUGGAGCAUGCUUUUAGAAAUCUUAAAAGAGCAACACUCUGAUGCAGAAACUACAGAACUCAAACCACCAAAAAAGAAAAUCAACCUUCUGCUGGUAGCAUCUGACUCUCAUGAUGAAAAUGAACAUGCGUCAGUUCACACUGUUUGAAUAGUUAUCAACAGGGGCAGUUCUAUGUUUUUUUGCUACUCCAAGCACGGCAGGCAGGCGGCUUUCGGUGGCGUGCCUGCGGGCGGUCCACUGGUCACGUGGAUUCGGUGGCAUGCCUGUGGGAGGUCUGCCAGUGCCACGCCAUCUGCAUCCCCGCUGCCAAAUUGCCACUGAAGCCGCGGGACUGGCGGACCUCCUGCAGGCAUGUCACCAAAAGCUGCCUGCCUGCUGCCCUCACAGCAACCGGCAGGCCGCCUCCCGCGGCUUGCCGCCCUAGGCACGUGCUCGCUGCGGUGGUGCCUGGAGCUGCCCCUGGUUAUCAAGCAGUACCUAUCAUCAGCAUGGACGCAUAUCCUUUGGAAUGGUGGUUGAAGCAUGAAGGGACAUAUGAAUCUUUAGCGCAUCUGGCACGUAAAUAUCUUGCAACGCCAGCUACAACAGUGCUAUGCAAAUGCCUGUUCUCACUUUCAGGUGACAUUGUAAACAAGAAGCAGGCAGCAUUAUCUCCUGCAAAUUGUAACCAACCUAGUUUGUCUGAAUGAUUGGCUGACCAAGUAGUAGGACUGAGUGGACUUGUAGGCUCUAAAUUUUUACAUUGUUUUAUUUUUGAAUGCCAUUUUUUUUACAUAAUUCUACAUUUGGAAGUUCAACUUUCAUGAUAAAGAGAUUGCACUACAGUACUUGUAUGAGGUGAAUUGAAAAAUACAAUAUUUUUUGUUUUUUUACAGUGCAAAUAUUUGUAAUAGAAAAUAAAUAUAAAGUGAGCACUGUACAUGUUGUACUCUGUGUUGUAAUUGAAACUAAUAUAUUUGAAAAUGUAGUAAACAUCCAAAAAUAUUUAAAAUAAAUGGUAUUCUAUUGCUGUUUAA